CCCAGCACUACGCGUCCCGGCAUGCUCGCGGCGACCGCCUAUAAAAGGCUCCAUCCGGGUCCUGGCCCCCGCUGUGGGCGACUCGUCGCCAUUACGGGGCGGUGGAGGCGCGGCCGAGUCCGCGCUGCGCCGGCUCCGCCAGCGCCCGUCGUGCCCCCCCGCUCAGGGCCGCCGCUCGCUCGCCAGCGCUGCCGGGGCGCCCCUUGAUGCUGCAGAGCUCGCCCGGCGCGACCCCCGCCGCAGCCUCCGCCUCCGCCAUGGACAAGAGCAGCCCCUGCGGCUCCGGUGCGCCCGGCUCCUCGGCCGGCAGCAAAACGCAGCAGCCCCGUUCCGCCUCGGCCGGGCCCGCCGCGGGGGAGUCUAAGCCCAAAGGCGGUAACCAUGGGUGAUCAGAAAGCCGUGAUUAAGGAUACGGACAUGUCAGAAGAGAUGCAGCAAGAAGCUGUCGAUUGUGCUAUUUUAGCCCUAGAGAAAUAUAACGUUGAAAAAGAAAUUGCAGCCCUUAUUAAGAGGGUAAAUGUCUGCUUGUAAUAUCCUCUUCUAUAUUUAUGAAUAUCAAAGCUCAAGUAGGGGGAGUGUUGCUAGGCUUUUUGCGGAAGCAAGUUCUGGAGACACUAGAUAAUCAAGUUGGACUUUGCACAGUCAGGUGUCCUUAUGUUCCUUUGCCCCCAAUCGCCCUUAGAUGUGCUUUUUCCUGGUUCUUCCCUUUCCGUUUGCAAUACCUUCUGUUUUAAUCAGUUCCUCUACUAUCCCAUUAUUGGGGUUAGCAGGGGAGUGGCUGCUAACCUGUCCCUGUUUCCUGUUAGCUGGUUAAAAACAGUUUUUAAUUUUUUUUAUAUAUAGUUUUUUUCUUGAGGGAAGGUGUCUUCUACCAAAUUCUUGACUUAAGCUGUCUUCAAUUUCACCUUUAGUGAUCUCUUCACAGUUCUGCAAUAGCUGUGUGAGACUGGCUAGCUUAUUCAACAUUUUCAGGGACAAGUCCUUUUCUACAGGUCUUCUGUAAUCACAUCCUCUUCUUAUGUGCUGAAUUAUGCUAUAAUCCCAGUGUUGGAGUACUAUAUAUCUGAUAUACUCCAAAUACCUGCUGUUAUGUAUGUAGAAGAAGAAUAGACAUGCAAAAGGCCUAGUUCUGAUGCAUUUUGUGCUUUGCCAAAUCAGGAGAACAAAGAAAUCUAAGGGUUCCAAGGAAAGUUAAAUAUUAAACUAGUCUGAGUGUAAGAGCUGUUUGAGUAGUCGUUCAACUAAGUAGUAUAGUCACUUCUAUUAGGGAGAUCUUAGUGUCCUGUUACCCUAAUAGAGACUGAGUUUUUCUUUCCACUUGUAAGAAAUACUGUUUUUGCUGGUGGAGAAUAGAUGGUUCAUAGCCUACGACUUGUCAGAUUGUCUCUGGCUCCCACUUGAAACCUGAGAAAUUGCUGGGAGACUACUUUAACCAAGGCUUGUAAUAACUGAACGCAAACAGUUGCAUGCUCUCACAGAAAGCAUCCUCAUCUGAGAGCUGUUGGAUAUGACAGUAUAUAACCACUGACUGGGAAGUUCUGCUUAUGGUAGACUUGUAUAUCUUUGUAUUUGAAACUUGUGGGAGGUUCCCGCAUGUGAUAAGUAGAGAGAAUAUGAUCUCGGAUACUUAAAAGUUGUGGUUUGAGACCAUGGUAUUAUUUUAGGGGAAAAAAAAUACAUUCUCUGAGCAUAGGUUAUGUUUUAAGCUUAUUUCUUCUCACCUAAGAAGUACUGGUGAGGUGUGGUUGGGUGGGUUUUAUCUUUUUAUUUUAUUUUUUGGACCAAUCAGGAAGUGAUGUAUAACAGGUAAGUCACACAAUCCUUGUAUUUAAGAGCGUGUUCUGCUCCUGAAUUGCCUUGUUCAAAUAGUGGUGCUUGUUGAGAAGUGACUCAUCAGUGAAAGAAAGUCUGUAGACAGCAUUUGGGUGAGAGGUAUGCUAAAUACUAAAUUCCUAGUGAUCUUUCCUGCAGGAGUUUGAGAAGAAAUACAGUCCCACUUGGCACUGCAUUGUGGGAAGGAAAUUUGGCAGCUAUGUGUCUCAUGAAACUAAGCACUUCAUCUUCUUCCUCGUGCGUGGAGUAAAUAUUCUUCUGUUUAAAGCUGGUUAGGACCGUGGAUUGUUACUGAUGCUUGCGUCUGGUUACAGGACUGCACAGUGACUGCGAGCAGGCUAGUGUCCU